rnacentral:rRNA from 1 species
GACGAACGCUGGCGGCGUGCUUAACACAUGCGAGUCGAACGGAAAGGCCCUGCUUGCCGGGUGCUCGAGUGGCGAACGGGUGAGUAACACGUGGGUGAUCUGCCCCUUACUUUGGGAUAAGCCUGGGAAACUGGGUCUAAUACUGGAUAGGACCAUGCUGUAGGUGGUGUGGUGGAAAGAUUAGUUUCGGUAAGGGAUGAGCUCGCGGCCUAUCAGCUUGUUGGUGGGGUAAUGGCCUACCAAGGCGUCGACGGGUAGCCGGCCUGAGAGGGUGGACGGCCACAUUGGGACUGAGAUACGGCCCAGACUCCUACGGGAGGCAGCAGUGGGGAAUAUUGCACAAUGGGCGCAAGCCGGAUGCAGCGACGCCGCGUGGGGGAUGACGGCCUUCGGGUUGUAAACUCCUUUCAGCCAUGACGAAGCCCUUGUGGUGACGGUAGUGGUAGAAGAAGCACCGGCUAACUACGUG